GGAGGUAUAGCUCAAUGGUAGAGUGUAUGGUUAGCAUGCACAUGCCCCUCCUUGGGUUUAAUCCCUAGUACCACCC
rnacentral:tRNA from 1 species